rnacentral:snRNA from 1 species
AUCGCUUCUCGGCCUUUUGGCUAAGAUCAAGUGUAGUACAAAGAGAAUCACACAUUGUGAAGUCUCUUGUGGGUUUUUUAAUUAAUGUUUUUGAGAUUCAUGUUGCACUAUUUUUGNGCCUUUUGAUUGCUGAGUAGUAUUUCAUGGUGAAUAUUCCACAACCUGUGCAGCCUGAGUCUCCCA